UCUCCGUUGGUGAACCAGCGGAGGGAUCAUUACCGAGUUUACAACUCCCAAACCCCUAUGUGAACGUUACCAAACUGUUGCCUCGGCGGGAAAUUCAUGCCCCGGGCGCGUCGCAGCCCCGGACCAAGGCGCCCGCCGGAGGACCAACCAAAACUCUUUUGUAUGUCCCUCGCGGACUUUUAUAAUUCUGAACCAUCUCGGCGCCCCUAGCGGGUGUUUCGAAAAUGAAUCAAAACUUUCAACAACGGAUCUCUUGGUUCUG
rnacentral:misc_RNA from 1 species